GGUGUGGACCUGUACGACUGCGUCCUUCCCUAUCGGGUGAGAGAGCUGUGUCUCAGCAACGAGACAGACACCGGAGAGAAAGCAGUUAAGGCCCAGACGCUCCCCAAGGAGCCAUCUGCGGGCCGGUGAGGCGGGAAGACGCCUGUCUGGGGGGCGAUGGCGGUGAUGAGACAGGGCUUGGCUCUAGCCGCUCUGAGCCUCCCUGCGAGGCCUGGGGACAGCACCACGAUAUUGAAGACGAGGCCCACCAAGCCUGCUGAGAUGGCUCCCAGGUAGGACCUAAUCCCAGGGCAGGAAAAGCCCCUAACCAUGACCGUGAAGAUGACUAUCACCAAUGAUCAUGGCUAUGGAGAACAUCUUCUUCACCUGGAUGCCACUGAUGCCAGGGCAGGGGCAGCCCCAGGAAUGGCCAUGAACAUGAAUGUGUUGCAGAAUCUGUUGGGCCCUGUGACCUGCAGGACGAGCGGACCGGUCAAAAGAACCUAGACGGGUAGAGGGAAAUGUCCCCCUCCUCAACAGGAGCAAAGCCGGCUGAGGGAAUGGACAGGAGAUGGACUGGUGUGAGCUCCUGGCCUAUGGCAGUUCAGCAAGAGAGGAAGAAAUCCAAGUUCUCCUGCACACAAUAUUUGACUUAAUUCUUAUGAUAGUACACCCAUUGCACAGAUGAGGAGACUGUGGGUGAGAGAGGCCAAGAGCCCUGCCUAGUAAGUGGCAGAGUCUAAUGGACCCGAGGUUCCUGAAUGAGAGAAUUUCUUCUUCAGGCAGGUAACUCCCACGUCCCUCUGAUCACACAGUUGUGGUGGUGGUGACCUAGUCAAAAGGAUCUUUGGGAAAAUGAGGUUCUUUCCCAGGACUGGGAUCUGAUCAGAAACCUUUGGAGCUGACUGCUGGCUUCUUUCAGGCUGUCUGGGCCCCUGCUCUUGUACAACAUCAGGAUGUGAGCCGUAUUGAUGGUGGAGCUUCAAAACCCAGGAUGGGCAGCCCCACCCAUGGGGCACCUGAUACGGAAUGACUCAGGGCACGGAGGUGGAGCAGGGACCUGAAGGAAUGGAUGCUCUCCUGGGAGCGUCCCGGGACCUUCCAUCCAGAGGUGAAGAGUCAAAUGAGAGAAAGUCUUUCGAAGACCUGCUGUAGAGCACAUGGAACUCUGCUCAAAGUUGGGUGCCAUCCUGGAGGGCAGGAGGGUUUGGGGGAGAAUGGAUACAUGUAUUUGUAUGGCUGGGUCCCUUCUCUGUUUACCGGAAACUACCACAACAUUGUCU